UUUCCACAUCGGGCUUCAUCAACACCCAGACACAUCUUCAUGCAGCUCUUCUUUCGAAGGCUGUACCCAGGCAAGCCUGUGCAAAUGCCUUCUGACAAGGAUGCAGAUAGCAUGUAUCUGUGCAGAAUGGGGGUACGAGUGAGAAGAAACUCCACUGUAAGAUAUGAGAAGAUCAAGGUUGUCAGGAAAAAUAGCAUGGAAAUUACUGUAUUAGUUCUUGAGCUUUUUGUGCCAGCACUUUUAAAGCUUUCUCUGAAACUGAGAGGAAGAAACAUCAUUUUCUCCAUAGACAACUGAGCUUUUUGUGUAAAGAUCUGGGGAGUCAGGAACACAAAGUAUUCCUUGCUGUGCUAUUUCAUUCCUGGAUUCACUGGGCAUCUGCUUAAAGGCUUCUGAAACUGAAGAUGCUGCUUUGGGCAGAGCAGGGGAGAGGACCUGCUGAUGCUGAAUCCCUGAGUCAUGUCCCAAAUUCCCCACUGCAGCAAGACUGCAGGGUAACCUUGAGCUGCUCUCCUCCCGGCACAGAAGGUACAGCAGGAUGCAGCCCUGAACUGUAUCCUGAACUGAGCCCCCUCCAGUGCUCCCCAGCUGAGAGUGAGGGAAAAGCCAGCUUCAUAACAUGGUGAGAGCCAGCAUUCUUCAUUCAAUCACACACAAACACAGCUGUAGGUAAGGACUUACCCUGGAGCAAAUGAGGUUUUCCUCCCUCCCUCGUCCUCUAGUUCUCCCUUGUAUGCAGGCCUGCGUUUCCUCACUGACCUUCACAGAGUUUCCUUGGGAUAGAGGUGUUGGGGGUCAGUGCAAGUGGGGGGCAAUAGUGCCUUUAUUUGACUUCUUCGCACACAACUGGCUGAUGAGUGGUGUGAAAAAACAAAGAGUUAUUAAAAAUUGUAAAGGGGUGGGAGCAUUUGAUAUCUGUCACACUACCCAAAUCCCAGCAACAGCAUGAUCUUAAGCUCACUGCUUCUUUCUGCAGGGCAUGUUGGGCUAUGGGAGAAGAAGGCCCACGGGCACCUGGGCUUGGCUUUGUUUGCCCCAAACCCUCCCUUAGAUUAGACAGAGCAGUAAAAAACCAAAGAAUCCCUGAACCCAAGGACAGGAAUGUCCUUGUUGUUGAGAACAGACUAGCUGAACAACUUCUGGGGGCUUUCAGCAGGCUAACCACUGAUUUGCUGUGGAGCCUCACACUCUGAGAGCAACGUGGAUUAGAAAUUGUUCCCCUUUGAUGUUGGACAUCACACCCAUUUCAUUUUCAGUCUAACUGGCCUUGUUGCCAUGGUUGUUACAGCUCACGAAGGUGAAGUGGUGAGCUUGCACCAAGAGAGGCUGGAAGCAGCCGGGUUUGUUUCUUCCCCAGAGGGUGCUCAGGCUCUUCCCCAGAGGGUGCUCAGGCAUUGGAACAGGCUGCCCAGGGCAGUGCUGGAGUCACCGUCCCUGCAAGUGUUCACACCCUGUGUAGACAAGGCCCUCAGUGCCAUGGGUUAGUGGUGGCCUUGGCAGUGCUGGGCAACGGUUGGACUGGGUGAUCUUAAAGGUCUUUCCCAACCUGGUUGAUUCUAUGGUUCUAUGAUUCCUCCUGCCUCCCGCAGCUGUCCCCACCCUCUGUCUGACCACAGCGAUGUUUGACAGUGGGGAGAUUCAUUUAGCUUACACCAAAACAGCCCCAUGACAUUCAUCUGUGAAUAUCCCAUUGCUGCAGGAUGGGGACUGCCUGGCUCCCCCAUCACCUGCCCCUGCAAGCCUCAUUGCAGCUGCUGGAUAAGGGUGUCUGGAGCAAGCCAAGUCCUUUGCUUGCUUGAGAUGGGAGCCACCACGGCUCUCAUCUGACCAGGAAGGUGCUACGUGCAGAGCUGGUGAUGGUCAAAGGCCAGCUAUGAGUCAUCUCAAACCCAAUGAGCAAUCACUAGUUGGGGGAAGAGGUAAUUAGACUGGCUUCACUAUCUUGCUGUUAUGCUUGGGGGAAUAAUGGGGUGGUAUUGGUGCCACUGAAGGACUUUAUUUCUUAGGAGUGACUCAUUGGGUAUGUGUCACAAAUUAUACAUUGGAAAAACUACCUGGGCUCCCUGUUGGGAGCUGAAAGUCCAGUGCAAUGAUCCUGGCAGCUGCCUAAUAAUGAUAACAUCACCUGGUGAGCGUUCCCUUCCCUUUCAUCUCAUGUAGAGGGAACUAUCAAAGUCAGGUCUGCUCUUAGAAUCACAGAAUUGUUUGGUUGGAAAGGACUUUAAGUUCAUCCAGUUCCAACACCCUGCCAUGGGCAGGGACACCUUCCACUAGACCAUGUUGCACAAGGCCCUGUCUAAGCUGGCCUUGAACACUGACAGGGAUGGAGCAUCUUGCCACCACUAAAUCCGUGGGCUGCAUACCUGCCCUGCUGCAGAAGCCGAAGGGGAAAUGGCUUUUGACAAAACUAGCAGAGAAUCAGAAGAACCAGAUGCAGAGCCCUGGUAUCGUGGGCUGCCAAGGUCCCUCAAGGACUUUGUAGACUUUGAGAAGGAAUUGAACCUGCUGAUCCAGGUCAAAGCUCUGUUUCAGUAGUAAGCUACAGUGCAGUUUGAUCACAAAGCCAAAGCAUUUGCAGUACCCAAAAUCUGUCCCCAGAUCUGCAUUUCACGGUUGAGUUGGCCCAUCUUUUGUUUUAAAGAAAGAUUGAGUGAACUUUUAUUCUCAUUUGACUGAUUUUUACCCCAUGGACUUGCAAAUUCCAGCUGAACCAGGUCUGCUUAAUAAACUCAAGAGAUUAUUUAAAGAUACAUUUCCUAAUCUUUCUGCUUCCAGCACAGCCUAAGGUUUGGAAAUGUUACCGUAAAAGUCGAUCGGAGAACGUCUCUAAGACUCGAUGUGGAGUUUUAGAACGCAGCAUUCUCUAUUGCAGCGCUGGGCACACACGUGAAUUGUUCCGCAAAGGUGAGCGCACCCAUUACUUGCCAGCAGCAGCUCUAUAUUUAACAUACUCAUGCAUAUUUACAGAGUUUUCAGGAAAUAAUUUGCAUAUUCAUGAUAUUUUCUGGGAACUCAUUAUAAUAUCUGAAUCCUAAUUACACAUGCACUUUCUUGCUGAGUGGGGGUCUCUGGUGGUGUCCGAUAGUCUGCCUUGCUGUGUUUACAGAGUGACCUCAGUGCUUGCACAUGCUCGCAAGGUCCUAGUACUGAGUUAGCAGUGGUAUGUCCUUGCUUCUGUUCUGUUCCAGUCUUGCUCCAUGUUGAGUGCCACUCUGCUAUCUUGAAGGCUGGCAUCCUUGGUCUCAUUUACUGUCUCCUUAGUCGUUAUCAGCCCCGUGAUGUUCCUUCCCCCAUCAGCUGAACAUUCCUUUCUCUCUACGUGUUAGUAAGUUAGAACAGUUCGCUGUAUUCUAUGUUAAAGACACACAUGCUAUUGUUGGUUUAAACCUACAAUUUAAGCCUACAGAAAGACAGAGGCAAUAUGAAUAAAUGGAGACAAAAUAGUGACUUGGAUCUUUACAUUCUUUUUGGACUUUGAAACCUAAUUUUAUAUUGCAGAUGAGGCUUAAGGUUUGUUCUUAAUUUGCCCAAACUGUUUUUGUUUCUUCCACUAGAACAAAUCCAGUCAAGCCAUGUUUGCCCUUCAAAACUUCGUUCUGCGAAGUGCCCAGUGCUGAGUUACUCAGUGUAAUGAAUGUAAACACAGGGAAGAUUACUUAUUUCCUUUGUGUGUGUUCUUUUGUGUUGGAAUUUGAUUGCACCAGUCAAAGAAGAUCCUCUUCUGUGUAAAAACACAAUUACAGAGCUCUGAUCCCUGCCCUCACUUUGGUGGAGCGCUGCAAAGGUGUGCAGCUGUAAAGCAAGCAUGUCACAUCUCUGCUGGGGUGCUGUGCUACGAGUCUGUUGGCAUUGCUCUGUGGUGUCUGCUUUGAGAUGGUGGAUCCUGGGAUGGCUAUUUCUCCAUAAUCUCAGACACCCUGAGUGUGUAGUGAAGGGAUUGAGCCUGG